rnacentral:lncRNA from 1 species
GUUUUACAAAAAAAUGAAUGAAAAAAGAAAAAAAAUUACAAGAAUCCAAUUUAAUUUUUCAUAGAAAAUAGAGAUAAAUAAUAAGAGAGAGAAAGAAAGAUAAAUGUAAUAUAAUCAAUAGAAAAAAAUAUGUUCAUAGAAGGUUAAAGGAAAGAGAGAUUGAAAAAUAAAAUACCUCAAAAUCUCGUGAUUAAUGUGAAACAAAUUUUAAGAUUUUAUGUGAGUACUUCUGCUUAAAGGUUAAUACUCUAGAGACUUUUAUAAAAGUCCCUAGAAGUCAUUAAAAUUUGAAUACCCCAAGACUUAUAGAGAUUUCUAAAAAAUUUUAAUUGAAUAUACCGUAACAGUUUUUAAAAGUCUAUAAAAGCCUCAAUUGAAUACCUCUAAACUUACAAGGUUUUUUUUUUUUUGUCAUGCUACUUUAAACCAUUUUGUUAAAAUAAUUAGAAUUAAUUUGAGUAGUCCGUGAUCUUUUAUACCAGGCAAAACUAAAGUAAGCGAAAGUAGGCUAUGAAUUAUUGAAUAAAUGAUGUAAAACACUAAUAGGAAAAAACAAGAGGCUACAAAAAUGACACAAAAACAACAAUUGAAGUUCUCAUCCUUAGAACUUUAAACUAAUGUAAUCGGGUGCCUAACACGAACAACUUUAAUCUAACAAGUAACUAGCUAAAAUGUGCCGAGUUGAGUAAUUAACUCUUUAUUUAAUCUCCUAAGACAUUCACAACCUAAUAUAAAAGAAAAUCAUUAAAUCAUUGCUUAUAUUUAGUUAAGAAUACAUUUGUGACGAAAAGUUCAAUACAAUUAAUACCAAAUGUUCAUAUGAAGAACUGAAAAUAGAUAAGAAAAUAGACAAGUAAGUUCAUUUGAACUAACACACGAAUAUCUUUCACGUUUAUGAAUGGAUUUUUCUAAAACUUACAUACAUUUAUUUUUAACAUUAACCAAUUAAUGUGCAAGGCACGUUAACCACACUAGUAGACAUAAAUAAGUGUACAUAUUUUACACUAUUGUAUAUCUUUCUGCAGUCCUAGAAUCUAACUGUCUUUCUGCUGAAAAAUCUCAACUUUCUUGAUGGAAACUACUGGGUUUUCUUCUCCGAGACCAGAUGCUUUUCCGACACGUCUUAGGGUUCUUGUUGUUGAUGAUGAUCCCACCUGGUUGAAGAUUCUUGAGAAGAUGCUCAAGAAGUGUUCGUAUCAAGGUUCUCUUAGAAUAAAUUUAUCAAUUUUUUUUAGUGAUUCUAAUAUUAUUUUUAUUGCAUGGUUUAUCAGUGCAAUUAUCUUCUUUUUUCAUGUGGUCAAUUAUCUUCUUGACAUAUUAGUUCAUAGUUAAUUUUCACUUUUUUGUUCUUUUGAUUUUUGGAGGGAUUUUAUUUUUGUGUUAUACAGAGGUUUUGAGUUGGUUUGUGGGACAUUUUAUCUGAGAUUUUUAUUUUUUUUAUGUUUGGUAUUUUGCAAGAAAAAUAUGCUAAAAUCUUAUUUAUUAUAUUGUCUUGUCCUAUCCAGUACUAUAUACUGAAAAACAGUUCACAUACUAAUUUUUUGUGAGAGCUUGAAGUCUGCAACUAUGACUUGCUUGGUUUUGGAAUUGAAUUUUCAUUUUUUUCCCCUUUUUUUUAUGUGUUUUCGCUCAAAAGUUAUAUAUCUUGGUUAUAGUAUGAUGGUUCCUGGUGAAGUUCAGUGAUGAGAUAUAAAGUUUUGAGUUUAAUCCUUGUGCAAUUGUGUAAUGAUACCAAAUGUAUGCCUUAUUGAUUUGUUGAUUUAAUUUGAAAAAGAAAGUUUCCAUAUCUCUUUCCAAUUUUGUCUCGAUUAGUUCACAAUAUUGAAUAACAGAUUUUUCCAUUCGGUUUCCUUUUUCCUUUAGUUUCACAAUUUUGUUCCCUUUUUUGUCAACCCUAAGCUCACCCGCUCCCUCAACUUCUAAUGUACAGAAUCUCGAACUGGAAUUCUGUACAACCCAGCAGUGACCACCCAGAAGUCAAAGCACCGCCGACGAGGACCACCGAUUUUUUGACACGGUUUGCCUUUUCCUUUAGUUUCGAAUUUUUUUUUUUAGUUUUCUAUAUUUUUUCGUUCAGUCAAUCACAAAUUAAAGAGGACAAUGUUGCAAGUUGAUAUUCAUGUUCCGAACUAAGAGGAAAUAUUUGUUGUUGCUUUUGACAGUGAAAAGAUACUCAAUAUCUAGUGCCACUAUUCUUUUCAAGUUUCACUGCGCGUAAUGAAUAUCCAAGGUUUACGCUUUUGUCUUCUCUCUGUCCAAUUCUAAAUUCUGUUUUUGGCGAGAAAUAAAAAAACUUAACCGAAUUAUGGGGAAGAUAACGAGGUUGAUUACUGGUGGGGUGCAGUACAAUGAAGUGGGUGUUGGUUUAUGUGAAUUUUUUUUUUGUUAUGAGACAUUGGAUGCACAAUCUUCUCUCCUGUCCAAUUCCAAAAUUCAAUUGUUGUGUUAUGAGACAUUGGAUUGGUUUCCUAAUUAAUUAAUGGUAUAUUUUAUCACGUGAUUGUGAAUUUCUGAGACGAGCAAGAUUGAACUUGGGAAAAAAGAUGAUGCAGUUUCUACACUUGUGUCUUUUGACUUUUCUCCUAUCCAAUUCCAAAUUCAUUUUUGGCGUUACGAGACAUUGUAUGCAUAAUGUUAACCUCUGUCGAAAGUCCUAUUCCGAAUAGAGGUAUUGUGUGAAGAUACAUAAGCUGUCUUUUCUUAUUAAUUAAUGAUUGUUGUUAUCAUCUUAUCGUACAUUUGUGAGGCUUGUACGACUGAACUUAGGCAAAAAAAUAUGAUGCUGAUUCUUAGGAAGUGUUGAGGAUCUUGGGAGCAGUGUAUUAGUGUAUAACAAAAAGAUGUAUUAUCACAUCAUAGUUGAAUAUUCAAAAUCCAGUUCAGCGAAGCAUGUUUUGAUUAUUGGUACUUAGAGUGAGUGCUUGAAGAUCAGCUGUGUUGGAUAAAGAGAGGGAGAGUGUAUUUUUAAUGAAUUUGGGUAGCAUGGUUUUUGUUUAAUGGUUCAAUCCACUCUAUUAUGUUAUAUUGACUUGAGUUUCGCUUCACCCGCUUGAAUAAUCCUAUACUCGUAUGUUAUGUGGUGUACUAGGGAAUAUAACAAUUUAACACAUAUGCUAUGCAGAUUUGUAAAUCAUAGGACGUGCUUAUCAUUUUUGUCAGAAUUGUAAUCGUAUCUGCUCCUAAUAAAGAUAAAAAUUUACACAAUCUUAAUUCGAAUGUUUUGAUGCUAUGAAGUUGUCAUUAUUGGUGAUAUUGCUCAAUAUUAAGAGAAUUUUGUAGUUGAAUGGAACUUUCAUUUAUUUAAUACUCCUCACUUAUCUUUCUAGCUUCAUCACUUUCGAAUGUUAUAUGUCAGACUUUUCAUUGUUUAAGGCUUACAUUUUAUCUUGUUUUCAUACAACGCAGACAUUGAAAUCAUGUCCAAUACCAUGUUGGAACCAAUCGAUGUCCCUGUCAAAGAAAGAGCGACGUUGACAAUGUUCCACUUUGGUUGACUGUGGAGAAUGCAUGGAGGUACAUUUUAUUUUAUAUUAUUGUAUAUUUAUUUUUUGGGAAAUGUUGGUUAUGUUCAAGUGGCAUUCACUGUCAAAGAAACUGUGUGGAUUUAAUACAGACAAUGUUGGUACGGAAAUUAUUUUUUGCCCACUUUGUAAGUUUCUUGCUUUUUGAACUCAUUCGACUUAG